GGUUGACUGACUGACUGUUGUCUCUCUAGGUGGGUGAGACUGAUUGGUUGACUGACUGUUGUCUCCCUAGGUGGGUGAGACUGAUUGGUUGACUGACUGUUGUCUCCCUAGGUGGGUGAGACUGAUUGGUUGACUGACUGACUGUUGUCUCCCUAGGUGGGUGAGACUGAUUGGUUGACUGACUGUUGUCUCCCUAGGUGGGUGAGACUGAUUGGUUGACUGACUGUUGUCUCCCUAGGUGGGUGAGACUGAUUGGUUGACUGACUGUUGUCUCCCUAGGUGGGUGAGACUGAUUGGUUGACUGACUGACUGUUGCCUCCCUAGGUGGGGAUACUGAUUGGUUGACUGACUGUUGCCUCCCUAGGUGGGUGAGACUGAUUGGUUGACUGACUGACUGUUGCCUCCCUAGGUGGGGAUACUGAUUGGUUGACUGACUGUUGCCUCCCUAGGUGGGUGAGACUGAUUGGUUGACUGACUGUUGUCUCCCUAGGUGGGGAUACUGAUUGGUUGACUGACUGUUGCCUCCCUAGGUGGGUGAGACUGAUUGGUUGACUGACUGACUGUUGCCUCCCUAGGUGGGUGAGACUGAUUGGUUGACUGACUGACUGUUGUCUCCCUAGGUGGGUGAGACUGAUUGGUUGCCUGACUGUUGUCUCCCUAGGUGGGUGAGACUGAUUGGUUGACUGACUGU